GCGAGGUCCUUUCUCACUGGGUCCUCAGAGCUUCCCGGAGAGAAAUGGGGGGGGGGGCGCGAUAUGAAUAUAUGGAAGAGAGAAAGAAGACACUAAGUGAGACAGAAAAGCUGCUCCUGCCUGCUCCUUAGCGCAGAGUCCAGGCACGGGUGGCGGGUAGCUCUGCGUCCACCUCGCUGCUGUCUCUGGCCUUGCUUCUAGCCGCACCGGUAUUCAUGACUCAUCUCCUCUUUCCUUCCCCACCGCCUCCCCUCUGCUCUCAUCCACAGGUUGUUUUAUUUUAGAGAGCAUGGGUGUCCUCAGUGAGGGGUGUGCUAGAGGUUUUGUUCCUUCUAUUAGGAAUGGGAAAGCGGGGUCUCCAGGACUGGAAUAAGCAAGGAACAAGUGAGAGCGUUUCUUCGGGUAUUGUGAGGAUCUGAAUUGAGAACUAUUUAUUUGGUUCCUCAAACGCAUCCACCUUAUCUCCAUCGACACCGCGCAGCAACCACGCGCGCACUUAUACAGCCAGAGACUGCGAGGGCCCAGGGUCCAUGUGUGCGUCUCGGGACCACCGGGAGCUCUCCAGACUGACCCGGGCUGAUCCACAGAAGGAGCUGUGGUCGCCUCGACUUACGGCUCUGGGCGGAGAGGAUGCUGCGAUGUGAUUACUCGAUUGCUCCUACAUUCCUCUCACCACUAUGUGCCGUUGUCUCCAGAAUCCAAGCACAUGAGGCUGUCCCAUCCUGGACUUGAAGCUUCCAAACUCCCCACUUACACUGAUGUUCUUCAUGUGUUGGAUGCUGUUGUAAAGAUAUCAUGGAUCGUAUUCACUCCUGAGCACACACCCCUGAGCUGGAGCACAGUAUGAUUCUCAGUCCAUCUUUUAAACACUGCCCCUGCUGGUAAUGGAGAAGCAAACAGAAAAAACAAAUAUGUUCAGGAAGCACCCUUAGGGACUCAGACCCUGCUGCACUUUGCCAGGCCUCCCAGGUCUUCCUUUGCAAUCUUGGUGGAAGCCUCCAUGACCCGCUAACUCCAGCAGCCUGCCUUCUUGUAGAACCAGCACCACAUGGUUGACAGAAGCAGUAAGUAGCCCAGCCUCCAGAGACACUUGCUGCAGCAAAGAGGAGGCCUGCGAUGAAUGGCCACACAGAUUCUGGGGAGAGGGACUGCACACAGGCAGCUGUUGGCCAGUGGCAGCCAUGUGGCCAGGAAGGAAGGCCCCUGGGCAGGCUCUGGCCUCCAGGUAGCCCUGGUGCCCUCACCACCCGCCCCCCACCCGGCUCCUCCGAGGAUGGGGCAGCUGCUCUCCCCUGGGAAGAGCGACUCUGGAAAUUUCUCCCACCAAGAGGCCAAAGCCAGCGUUCCAGCUGCCAGCGAUGUGUCUCCACGAUGGCACUUUGGCGUAUGUGAUGACCAUAAACUGGAGAAUCCCAGCUUGUGCAGUUAAGAAGAUCGUAAAAGUAGGAACACAAGGUUCCAUGUGAACGCGAAGUCACUGCCAAGCAUACCAACAAGCCCCACUAAGCUAACUCCUCCCAAAUUCACAUGCCCAUCAACCACCUCCCCCAAAUGCUCUCAGCCACUCCACCAUCCCCAGACACAAGGGAAGUGGGAGAGGGGGUCAGAAUACAAGGCUAUGAGAUCAUAAUCUUAAUGGAUUACCGUUGAAACUUCUAACAGAUGCAAAUUUUGCAAACAAAUGAGCAUGUGAACAAGUUGGUAGGGCCCUCCCAAGCCUCAGAAGGGACUGCAAACGAAGGUUCUUUCAACCUAAGGUUUGGCGGCUUCGCUGGGAAGCUGCCUGUUCCCGUGGGGCUUACCUGGUCACUGUCAACAUCCGAGGCACUGGAUCCUGAUCACCUGGAUAGGGCACCUCCUCCAUGGAGCCUUCCCUGAUAAUCUCCAGGAGAGAGUCCCUAGGCCUUCUUAAAACUCUUUUAACCUUCUGCACUGCCCGGCUCCAUAGGUUGCAAACUGCCACAGGACAUGGACUGGCUGCCAUUCGCACAUGAGCACAGUCAGAGUCAACAGUACAACUGGGUCUCAAUUUAUAUGUGCAGCAGAAAUGAGAGGACAAGAGUGACCCCAGCUCACUGGCGUGCGGAGUUUAAAUAACCCCUACAACCUGCUUCAAGAAAAUUUAAUUGCAUCCCAGAACGUCAGUAAACAGACUGGUGUCGCAAUAAACAAUCUGGAAAAGAAAAAAAGAAAAAAGAAAAAAAGUGGUGUUGGCAGAAAACUUUGAUCAUAAUUUGCCUGACGGAACAAAACAGACAUGGCCUCUGCUUUGUCCUUGUGUGGAUUGGGGUUAUCACCAGUGUCGCGCUUCUGAAGUGCCUUUCUGUGCUAAAUACAGGGCUGGACCGUGGAAAAUCAAAAAACAAACUGGUAUUUGGAAAGCAAUCACUUUCCCCAGAGAAGAGAGGAGAGUACCGAGCGCCUAUUAUUUCAGACUUACUUCUGCUUCUCCAAGGCUUCCAAGGUAACAGAUGAAGAGAGGUCACCCACCUUUAGUCUCGCAGCAGCAAGAAAGCAACAGAAGCCUUCUCGCCAGGAAUCAGAAAGGGAAACCUGUUUGCUUUUAGAGUUUCUCGUCCUCCCAGAGAGAUGAAAGGGGAAUGAAAGGGAGUCACCCCUGUGGAAUCGCCAAAGUGAAAACGGGCCACUUUAUCCGGGCUCUUCAGAGCUCUUUAAGGCUGGAAGGGUCUGGAUUGAAAUCCGUAUAAUACGUUCAUUCACUAAGUCAAGAUUAAUAGCGUGGGUGUUGUGUCCUGGGGGAGCGCCUCCAGAAGGCAGUUGGAAAUAAACUUUGUCUUGCUUUGAAACACUUGGUCUGUAGCACGUAUCAGGAUUUUUUAAAAAAAUUUUAUUCCCUAAUAAAAAUUCUGUUAGCAUCAGAUUUAAAUUCCCUAAAUCUUUUCCUCCCUAUAGACGCGGUUCCCUGGAUCUCCUCUUUUCCAUUUCGACUGGGCAGGGUCUUGCUGUUUCUCCCCUCCCCAGCUUGUCGCUGCCGGUGGGUGGCAUUUUCAUCCCUUCUUAGCCACCCUGUAUUUAAUGUCACCUUAUUCUUCCAUGCUGCCCCGUGGGUUCCCUAACAAUACUUGAAAUCUCCGUAUUUAGGACCAGAAAUAAUCUAAGCUUACUUUUCUUCUCAAACAUAUUUCAAAAUAAAUUUGGAAGGAAAUCACUUUGAAUUACAGUGCAUUUGAUACAAAGCUGUGAACACCAACGUGGUGAUUUUAUUUGUUUUCUGCUUUGCCCUAGAGAACGGAAUAAAAUAAAACAUUAAAUAGGACCCAAACCACGAUUGCAAGAGUGUGGCUCUCUGCAGGUAGUGAGGCAAAGAAGUUUUCACUGGAAAGUUUAGUUCUCAGACCUACACGCUGCAAGGCUGUGGCACCCACUGCAUUUCCCAGGGACUCCUUCUAGGGGUACCUCCCCGCAAAAUGCUCAGAAAUUGUGUUUUCCUUUCUCUCUGUCUCUGCAUUCAAACCUGCUCAUGUUUGGUGGUUACUUUUUGCAUGUUGGGAAGAUUUUGCUUUUGAAAGACCCCCAUUUGAAAACAUGAGUUCAUCUUGAACCACCAGGGCCAUCAUACUGGUCUCGGUUUGGUAGUGCACUGGGUGACAAAUUCUGGAGACCGGGAAGCAACUUGAUACUCUACAAAGCCCACUGCAAAUUCUGUCUCUGGCAUUGCGUUUUCUACCUGGUUGGGU